rnacentral:rRNA from 1 species
GACGAACGCUGGCGGCGUGCCUAAUACAUGCAAGUAGAACGCACAGUUUAUACCGUAGCUUGCUACACCAUAGACUGUGAGUUGCGAACGGGUGAGUAACGCGUAGGUAACCUGCCUGGUAGCGGGGGAUAACUAUUGGAAACGAUAGCUAAUACCGCAUAAUAUUAAUUAUUGCAUGAUAAUUAAUUGAAAGGUGCAAUUGCACCACUACCAGAUGGACCUGCGUUGUAUUAGCUAGUAGGUGAGGUAACGGCUCACCUAGGCGACGAUACAUAGCCGACCUGAUAGGGUGAUCGGCCACCCUGGGACUGAGACACGGCCCAGACUCCUACGGGAGGCAGCAGUAGGGAAUCUUCGGCAAUGGACGAAAGUCUGACCGAGCAACGCCGCGUGAGUGAAGAAGGUUUUCGGAUCGUAAAGCUCUGUUGUAAGAGAAGAACGGGUGUGAGAGUGGAAAGUUCACACUGUGACGGUAUCUUACCAGAAAGGGACGGCUAACUACGUG